UGGGUGUGAUGUGAACUCAUUGCCUGACCUCCCAUGGAGGGGAAAGACUGAUUUAAUGAGGCUGACCC
ensembl:snoRNA